rnacentral:rRNA from 1 species
UACGGGAGGCAGCAGGCUAGAAAAUUGGGCAAUGGGGGAAACCCUGACCCAGUGACGCCGCGUGCAGGAAGAAGCCCUUCGGGGUGUAAACUGCUGUCGUGCGGGACGAAGGGUCCAUAGGCGAACAGUCUAUGGGCUUGACGGUACCGCAGGAGGAAGCCCAGGCUAACCUCGUGCCAGCAGCCGCGGUAAUACGGGGUGGGCGAGCGUUGCCCGGAAUUACUGGGUUUAAAGGGGGUGUAGGCGGUCCGGAGAGUCAGGUGUGUAAUCCAACCGCUCAACGGUUGGGCUGCACCUGAUACUUCCGGGCUAGAGGGCGGUAGAGGAGAGCGGAACUCCCGGUGUAGCGGUGAAAUGCGUAGAUAUCGGGAGGAACGCCGGUGGCGAAGGCGGCUCUCUGGGCCGUUCCUGACGCUGAGGCCCGAAAGCUGGGGGAGCGAAAGGGAUUAGAUACCCCUGUAGUCCCAGCNGUAAACGA